AUGAAAUCAACAAUUAUUCCUACAACAACAUCACAAGAAAUUUUAUCAACAAAUCCAAUUGAAACAUUAAGUCCAUCAACAUCAUCAACUACUUCUGAAGAAUCCAGAACAACAACCACAAAUCCUUCGCUGAGCACAACUCUAAUGACAUUUACAACAUUUGGUUCAGCUUCAAGUACAGCAGAAACUACAACAGGAGCACAAGAAACUUUGACAACACUUUUGACAACAACCACAUCAAAACCUACACCAAUAACUUCAGCCAACCCAACAGCAGAAACUACAAUAAUUGAAAGAACAACACCACUUAGUUCAACAUUUGUUGGGGAGACCACAACAGCUCCAUUGACUGCAACAACACAUAUACCCUCGCCAACUCUUGAUCUCACAGCUGAUACAACAUCUGGAACAACUGCCGCCUUAAAAACCACUGCUUCUUCUACAUUAUCUCCUCAAACAACCAGUUUACCUUCAACAACUGCACUGCUGAGUACACCUGCUGCUACCAUGAAAUCAACAAUUAUUCCUACAACAACGUCAAAACAAACAUAUACCACAUCUGCUGUUACAACAAAUGCAGUGGUAAAAACUACACUUCCGCUUACAACAAUUAAAGAUGUAUUACCGUCCACAGAGGCAACAACUAAAGAGGGAACUUCAGCUUCUAAUUUGACAACAGAAAAUAUUUCUACAUUGAUUCCUGUGACACAAAGACCCACAGCUGCUGGAAUAACCACAGGGACAGGUUCACCUGCUGGAACAGCAAACCCUGUACCUGCAACUGCCAUUACAACAACUUCUUCAACAAAUAACAUAAUCUACCGCGUAACAUUUAGGUCUGUUCAAAACACUUUUACAAAUGACCUUUUGGAUCCAUCAUCUGCUGCGUAUCAAGCUCGAGUUAAAAUGAUCACCUCACAGUUGGAAUAUUAUUUCCGACAGUUAUUUGCUGCUACCUUCAUUGCAUUAGAAAACAUACAGUUCAGAAGUGGAUCAGUCAUCAACAUCAUUCACUCUCGGUUUUUAAACGGGAAUAACACUCCUAAUAGCACUGAAGUAGCGAAAGUUUUGGUGGCUGCUUCUACAAACGUGACUGGCUUUGACAUUGAAACAAGCUCCAUCACCAUCAAUUCCACCGUUACUGGAGGAUCAUCAAGUCAAGCAAACCACAUGAUGAGCCUAAUUAACACAUGUUUCUUGGUUCUGCUGUCAAUCUUAUUAAUAAGCCUACAAACACAGCUGUGUUGAUACAAUGGCACUAAUCGGCUUGAGAAAGCACUUGUAAAAAGCUGUUGUGUAUGUACUCGCAUUGAUUUGAAUCAACAUUGGUAAGAUAAUCAUGAUGGUGAUUAUAACAAUAAUUAAAGUGAUGGUAGUCAAUAGUCAGUGUAAUACUAUACAGAAAACAUGGGUUUUAUUUUAUUUAUUCUUUGAAGCACACAAAACAAGUUUCUUUGUUUUAGUUUUAUUCAGGUGUAUUUGUAUUAAUCUUAAGAAACUUAAUAUUCAUAAGCAACCAUCAGACCAUUAUUAUCAUCUUUAAAUUAUGAAUGGGUAUGUUGAUUUCAUUUAUAAUAGCUCAUUUAUCUCAUUUAAGUGAAUAACUGUAUUGUAUUUUAAUGAAAUGAUUGAAAUGGCCUUUGAAAUAGAGAC
rnacentral:lncRNA from 1 species